rnacentral:rRNA from 1 species
AAAAGAAACUAACAAGGAUUCCCCUAGUAACGGCGAGUGAAGCGGGAAGAGCUCAAAUUUGAAAUCUGGCAGUCUUCGAUUGUCCGAGUUGUAAUCUAUAGAGGCGUUUUCCGUGCCGGACCGUGUCCAAGUCUCCUGGAAAGGAGUAUCAAAGAGGGUGAUAAUCCCGUACUUAACACGACCACCGGUGCUCUGUGAUACGUCUUCUACGAGUCGAGUUGUUUGGGAAUGCAGCUCAAAAUGGGUGGUGAAUUCCAUCUAAAGCUAAAUAUUGGCGAGAGACCGAUAGCGAACAAGUACCGUGAGGGAAAGAUGAAAAGCACUUUGGAAAGAGAGUUAAACAGUACGUGAAAUUGUUGAAAGGGAAACGAUUGAAGUCAGUCGUGUUCUUUGGAUUCAGCCAGUUCUGCUGGUCUACUUCCUUUGAACGGGUCAACAUCAGUUUUGUCCGGUGGAUAAAGGCAGUAGGAAUGUAGCUUCUCCGGAAGUGUUAUAGCCUAUUGUCACAUACACUGGGUGAGACUGAGGACUGCAGCUCGCCUUUAUGGCCGACCUUCGGGUACGUUCGAGCUUAGGAUGUUGACA